rnacentral:lncRNA from 1 species
AGCUAGUGCAAAAGGAAGCACAUGUUUGUUGUGAAAAUAAAUUUUGGAUUAGAUAAAACUUGUUUGGUAAGUGUUAUUUACUAUUCGUUAACGUAGAAACAAAAUAAAUGUAUCUAAAGUGAAAAAGUUUAGAUGUUUCUGGAAAUAUAAUAGAAAGAAUAAGGAUUUUAACAUGUGAUUUGAUACCAACAAAGUGAACAUACACACAAUAUAUUACUUGAGAUAUUUGGUGUAAAAAACAAAUCAGUGUUGAAUUAUAAUCAUUUUUAGUUUUAUAUAUUAUAUUAAAUAAAGUGUCUUGUUGGUUUGUUUUCACAUACAAAAAUGAAAAACCAACAACUGCAAAUACAUGUACACAAUAUAAAGUCUAGCAUAGCUAUCAAUUUUCACACCACACAAUUGUAUACAUUUCAAUUACAUAUAUUUUGAAUAUUUUUAAGCAUCUUACUUAUUGUUUUAUUUCUAUACUCACAUCAGAUAAUAUCUGUAUUUAAAUUCUUGUUUAAAUAUUUCAUAAACAUUAACUUGAUUUAUCUAUUAUUUUGAAAUACAAUUGCAUUUGUGUAGAGUGAAUAGGAUGACUGUCAAGAGAUAAUUAAUAUCAUUUAAUGAGUCCUCUUCUAUUUUAUAUCCUACUACUAAGUGUUUUAAAGUAACUAUAUGCUCCACCAAUAUGAAGCUUAUUUUAAUAAAAUACAAAUUUUAUUCCAAAAAACUUAAAAUAAGUACAUUCCAUGAAAUUGUGUUGAUAAGUAUCUGGUACCCACACACUGAACACAGAUUGGUGUUUUAAUUUCCAUGUGAAAAGAUGUGUACCUACAGGUAGUAUAUAAUGUAAUAAUUUCCAUCGAACCAUUUUUAAUUUAUUGUCUUCUAAAUAAUUAAAAUAAAAUUUAAUGUGUAUUUAAUUUUGGUUGAAUUUUAUCUAUAUUUAGUUCUUUCCGCCAUUUUUGUAAACCCUAUAGGAAUAUCUUUAUUUACAUUAGAUAAGAUGACAUAAAUAUCUUUAUUAUUAAUUUUUUGUAAAUCAUAUAUAAUUGCGCCUUGUUUUAAACAUAGUUGUUUUUUACAAUUAACAAUAGUUUUUAAUGAGUUUUGUUUUUGUAAUAUAUCUUUCCAAUGAUUUGGUAUGCUCUUUCUUAUUUGUAUUAUUUCUGCAAUCCAAUUUCUUUUACAUUUUAACUUAUUGAGUAUUUUUUCUUUUGAUAUUCUUCCUCUGUCAUCAAUUAUGUCAUUUACAUAGAUUAUGUUGUCUUUUAUCCAAUGAUUAAAAACUAAACUGUGCCCAUUUAACUUUAUGUAUUUGUUACCCCAUAUAAUUUGUUGUCUAAUGGUUCUAAAGUUUUCUGGUUUAUUAGUUUGACCACCGCCAUAUUUUACCCAGGUUUUAAGUAUUUCAAAGUAAAAAUUAGGGAUUUUGUUGUUUUUGAUAUUUAUUGAUUUUAAAUUAUCCAGAUUCAUGUGAAAUAUUAAAAAAUUUGAUCCAUAUUGAUUAAAGUAUAAUGUGGGAAUAAUUUUCCAAUUUGACUGUUCACCUUCUAUUAAUCUUUUUACCCAUUUAAUUUUUAUUGCAUCAAUAAACUUGUCAAUAUCUAUCAUUCCAAGUCCUCCUUCAGUUUUUUUCAUGUUAAUUGUUUUUCUUUUAAUUUUUUCUUUUUUAUGGUCCCAAAUGAAUUCAUAAAUCAUUUUUUUAAACUUAAAUAGUGAAUCUUUGUCGAUAUCAGUUACAGAAGCUAAAUAUGUUAUAUUUGGUAUAACUAGAGAUUUCACGACAGUUACUUUUCCGAUCAUUGUUAGCUUUCUUUUUUUCCAUGAGUUAAGAAUUUUUUCAGAUUUUUGAAGUUGUUUUUCUAUGUUUAAAUUCAUACAUUGAGAUUUGUUAUAUCCAAAGUGAAUGCCAAGGCUUUUAACAGUCUCUUUGCUCCAGUUAAUAUUCUCAAAAUUGUCUUGAAUAUGUUUUAAUUUUCCGAAACCUAAUCCUUCAGUUUUACUUCGAUUUAAAAUAAGUCCUGAUAGAGAACCAAAUACUUCAAUUAUAUUAAAUGACUGAGAGAUUUCAUCUUUAGAGCAGAGAAACAAUGUAGUAUCAUCAGCUAACUGGCUUAUUAUAAGGCUGUGCGUUUUUCCAUCUAACUUUAUAUUUAUUCCCUUAAGAUUAUUGUCGUUUCUUAUUCUACAGGCUAAUAUUUCGACUGCAAAGACGAAUAAAAUGGCGCUUAAAGGACAUCCUUGUCGAAUUCCUCUAAAAAUAUUCAGUGGGCUUGAAAUCCAUCCAUUAUUAGAAAUACAUGCCUUGAUAUCUGCAUACAAGGUUUUGACCCAUCUUAACAUAGAAUUUUCUAUACCAAAUUUUGUUAGUGAUUGAUACAUGAAUUCCCACUCUAGGGAAUCAAAGGCUUUGGAAAAAUCUAGAAAAAGUAUAGCUCCAUCUAUUUUUAACUUUUCUGCAUGAUCUAUAAUGUCUUGUAUCUGACGUAUAUUAAAACCUAUAUAACGGUUUUUAAUGUAUCCAUUUUGGUCACUGUGGAUAAUUUUUGACAUCACAGGUUUUAAUCUUUGGGCUAAUGUAUAUGCAAUAAUUUUAACAUCAACAUUUAAUAGUGUAAUUGGUCUGUAAUUACCUAAUUCAGUGGGGUCUCCUUUUUUAAAUAUUAGAGAAAUUAGGCCUAUUUUUUGUGAUUCAGAUAACAUUCCUUUUUUAUAGCAAUAAUUGAAGCUUUGAAUUGCAUAAUUCUUUAAUUUGUCCCAAAAUUCUCUAUAAAACUCUACUGAGAGUCCAUCUAGGCCUGGGGAUUUAUUUAAUUUCAUUUGAAAAAUUGAUUUUGUACAUUCUUCUGUUGAUAGAAGUCCAUUUAGAGAAUUGCUUUCUUCUUUACUUAAUGAUUGUUUAAUAUUUGUAUCCUUAAUAUAUGUGUUUAUAAAAUUUUUAUCUGGUUUAGUGCUUGUGUAAAGCUUUUCAUAAUAUUUCUUUUCUAAAUUUAGUAUUUCUGAUUGUUUUGUAAUUAUCUCCCCUUUAUCGUUUUUUAAAUUUAUUAUAUUUUUUCUUGUUUGUCUACUUUUCUCUAAUCCUAGAAAAAAUUUAGAAUUCUUUUCCCCUUCUUCUAUCCAUUUUAUUCUUGAACGUAUUUGUGCACCUUUUGCUUUAUAACUAUAAAGAGAUUCUAUCUCACUUUCUAAUAAAUUGAUUUCGUUCUUUUCUACUUCACUUGGUUUAUUAUUAUCCUUUCUUUUCUGUAAUGUUUGAAGUUUUUUUUCCAAAUUUUGAAUUUCAUUUUUCCUUUGCCUAGAUUUAUUUUUGCAAAACUGUAUCGUUGAUUCUCUUACUUCAAUUUUAAACAGGUCCCAUAGUUGUGAUAAAUUUUCAGUGUAAUUGCUUUUAAGUAUAAAAUAGUCUAUAACUUUUUCUAUUUUAUCUUUAUAAGAUUUGUCAGUUAGUAUGCUGUUGUUUAUUUUAAAGAACCCUUUACCCUUAUUAUCAUUGGACAUGUUAAUUUUCAAUGAAAUUGCCUGAUGGUCUGUACUAGAAAUUAGGGCUGGUCUUAUAUCUGUAGACUUUAUCAUAGUUCUCAAUUCCUUACCCGUUAGAAAAUAAUCUAUUCUACUUGCCUCAUCGUCUUUAUUUUUACGUUUCCAUGUAUAUUGAUAUAGUUUCGGAUGUAAUUGUCUCCAAAUAUCUUCUAGUUUGUUUGUUUUUAUUAAAGUUUUCAAACUAUUUGUAAUUUUUUGUUCUCUUUUUUUAUUAUUAUUCUUUCUAUCUGUACUACUCAAUGUUUCAUUCAUAUCUCCCCCUACUACUAAAAUUCCGAGACUAUGUUCUUCAAUUAUUUUAUUUACAUUUUUAAAGAAGAUGUUUCGCUUUUUUUUCUCAUUAGGUGCAUAUAAAUUUAUUAAAGAAAAUAUGUUGUUGUUUAUUUCAACAUUUACAAGAAUUAUGCGACCUUCUUGAUCAGUAAAAGUAUCAAUUAUCUUUGGGUUUAUUGUUUUUUUAAUAAAUAUAGCUACUCCUUUUGAUUGUGUUGUGCCAAAACUGUGAAAAAUAUCUGCGUCAUAUUCAUUACUUACUUUAUUUUCUAUUUCUUUAACAAAAUGAGUUUCUUGGAUAAAAAGUAUAUCUGUUUUUUGAUAUUUUAACCAAGUAUAAAGCCUAUUUCUUUUUUCUUUUUGGCCUAGUCCUUGACAAUUUAAGGAACAGAUAUGUAAAGUUUUAUUCAUUAUUCUUAUAUUUUUUGUAGCUUAAAGCGAGUAUUUUAAAACUAAAUACAUUUGACAAACAUACAUGUAUACAACAACAAUAACAUGCAUAGUAUAAGAAAAUAUAUAUAUACAUUAAGAACAACAGUAUAUUUAACAUGAUAAUAAUAACUAUACAUAUAAUAAAUACAUGAUCUUUUAUAUAUAUUUUAUCUAUCCUAAAAAUUGGACACCAGUUCAGGAAAGGUGUACAUGUUUUAAAUAAUUUGUGUAGGGAUUUUCCCACAUCUAUAAAUAGCCAUAGUUUGCUCAUGUAAUUUCUAUUAAUUGUUUUUAUUCUGUUGAAUUCUAUUGGUUCUAAUAAUGCACUUAUAUUGCUAUGUUUUGUUUUAGUUGAAGUUGAUUGUAUCAAUUUUGUUUUUAUUUUUGUAGGUACUUCGGAUAUAUUCGACACCAUUUGGUAACAGGAUAAAUUUUCUUGUUUCACAAGAAGACUAAAACUCUUGGAUUUAGUGAUGCUGAAGACUUUUACAAGAAUACAUACGUGUGUGAGCAAUACUAUUGCUGGAUUUUGACUAGGAAUUCCUUCCCAGUAUCUAUAUCUGUGCGUGUAUUUGUAUAGUGAUGCAAUAUAUUGAAGACAUGCAUAAUCUAUACAACGAUGUAAAAGCUCUUCCCGAAAAUUAAUACAGCA